AUGAACGCUGGCGGCGUGCCUAAUACAUGCAAGUCGCGCGAACGGACGAGAAGCUUGCUUCUCUGAUGUUAGCGGCGGACGGGUGAGUAACACGUGGUUAACCUACCUAUAAGACUGGGAUAACUUCGGGAAACCGGAGCUAAUACCGGAUAAUAUUUUGAACCGCAUGGUUCAAAAGUGAAAGACGGUCUUGCUGUCACUUAUAGAUGGAUCCGCGCUGCAUUAGCUAGUUGGUAAGGUAACGGCUUACCAAGGCAACGAUGCAUAGCCGACCUGAGAGGGUGAUCGGCCACACUGGAACUGAGACACGGUCCAGACUCCUACGGGAGGCAGCAGUAGGGAAUCUUCCGCAAUGGGCGAAAGCCUGACGGAGCAACGCCGCGUGAGUGAUGAAGGUCUUCGGAUCGUAAAACUCUGUUAUUAGGGAAGAACAUAUGUGUAAGUAACUGUGCACAUCUUGACGGUACCUAAUCAGAAAGCCACGGCUAACUACGUG
rnacentral:rRNA from 1 species